UACGUAGGAGGCGAGCGUUGUCCGGAGUUACUGGGCGUAAAGGGUGCGCAGGCGGCGGUUCGCGUGGCGAGAUGAAAUCUCCUGGCUUACCUGGGAGGAUGGUCGCCAGACGGGAUCGCUUGAGGGUCGGAGAGGGGCGUGGAAUUCCGGGUGGAGCGGUGAAAUGCGUAGAGAUCCGGAGGAACACCGACGGCGUAGGCAGCGCCCUGGGCCAAUACUGACGCUGAGGUGCGAAAGCGUGGGGAGCAAACAGG
rnacentral:rRNA from 1 species